rnacentral:rRNA from 1 species
AAACCAACAGGGAUUGCCUUAGURSCGGCGAGUGAAGCGGCAAUAGCUCAAAUUUGAAAUCUGGCGCCUUCGGUGUCCGAGUUGUAAUUUGAAGAAGGUAUCUUUGGUUUUGGCUCUUGUCUAUGUUUCUUGGAACAGGACGUCAUAGAGGGUGAGAAUCCCGUCUGAUGAGAUGCCCAAUUCCAUGUAAAGUUCCUUCGACGAGUCGAGUUGUUUGGGAAUGCAGCUCUAAGUGGGUGGUAAAUUCCAUCUAAAGCUAAAUAUUGGCGAGAGACCGAUAGCGAACAAGUACUGUGAAGGAAAGAUGAAAAGAACUUUGAAAAGAGAGUGAAAAAGUACGUGAAAUUGUUGAAAGGGAAGGGUUUAAGGUCAGACUUGGUUUACCAGGCCAGCAUCGGUUUAGAUGGCAGGAUAAUGGCGUAGGAAUGUGGCUUUGCUUCGGUAAAGUGUUAUAGCCUGCGUUGAUACUGCCUAUUUAGACCGAGGACUGCGUCUUUGACAAGGAUGCUGGCAUAAUGGCCUUAAGCCAC